rnacentral:lncRNA from 1 species
GCGCUCGAAAGCGGGCUGUCCUGGUGCCUCCCCGGGAGUGGAGUGAGCCGAGCCUUGCUUACCAGCAUCUGCGCCUCCGCACACCGCGAAGGCGCCCAAUUGGAGGUGCGGCCACGGCCGGGGCAGGCGGCAGAACGCCGUCAGGUAAAGGGAAGAAAGGAAAAGGCCGGCCCAAGAACUCCGGGAAGAAGCAGAAGCUGAAGAAGCCGGAAGUGGACAUCAUGAGCCCGGCAGCCAUGCUGAACCUGUACUACAUUGCUCACAAUGUUGCCGACUGCCUGUACCUGCGAGGCUUCCCGUGGCCAGGGGCUCCCAAAGGGAAAAGGGGGAAAAAAUAAGACUUAGGUGAUAGAAUUCAAAGCAUGCCUUGGUCUCAAAGAACAGAAAGUAGGAGAAUGCAUUUAGGAUAACUCAAGGACUUCGGCCAAAUGGGCUCUAAAAGACAAGCGGGAACACGUAGCCGCCACUGCGCUUUUCUGUGAUAAGCAAUAGCGAAGGCUGCUUUUAUUUCCGAAGCUAAGCCAGGUACUAGGUAAGCCACUUUGGUUUUUCAGAUGUAAUCAGGAAAAAUAGUCCAUAAAGGCUACCCUGGCACUGGUAAUAAUUUUUUAAAAUAUUAUAAUCAUAAUUCUAGACUGAAUUAAACCUUGUUCUCAGAAGGCA